rnacentral:tRNA from 1 species
GAGAAUAUGGUGGAAAGGAUAGACACGUUGUGCUAAAGUAGGUUAAGUCCGGCACAAUUCCUUAGCUAGGAGUGAGGGUUCAACUCCCUCUAUUCUCA